GACUACGGCCAUGCCACCCUGAACGUGCCUGAUCUCAUCUGAUCUUGGAAGCUAAGCUGGGUUGGGCUUGGUUAGUACUUGGAUGGGACACCACCUAAGAAGACCAGGUACUGUAGGCA
rnacentral:rRNA from 1 species